AUUGAACGCUGGCGGAAUGCUUUACACAUGCAAGUCGAACGGUAGAGGGGGCAACCCCUCGAGAGUGGCGAACGGGUGAGUAAUAUAUCUGAACGUGCCCAGUCGUGGGGGAUAACGUAGCGAAAGUUACGCUAAUACCGCAUACGAUCUAAGGAUGAAAGCGGGGGAUCGCAAGACCUCGCGCGAUUGAAGCGGCCGAUAUCAGAUUAGGUAGUUGGUGGGGUAAAGGCUCACCAAGCCAACGAUCUGUAGCUGGUCUGAGAGGACGACCAGCCACACUGGAACUGAGACACGGUCCAGACUCCUACGGGAGGCAGCAGUGGGGAAUUUUGGACAAUGGACGCAAGUCUGAUCCAGCCAUUCCGCGUGCAGGAUGAAGGCCCUCGGGUUGUAAACUGCUUUUGUACGGAACGAAAAGGUCUCUCUUAAUACGGGUGGCUCAUGACGGUACCGUAAGAAUAAGCACCGGCUAACUACGUGCCAGCCGCCGCCGUAAUAC
rnacentral:rRNA from 1 species